rnacentral:rRNA from 1 species
AUUGAACGCUGGCGGCAUGCUUUACACAUGCAAGUCGAACGGCAGCGCGGGCUUCGGCCUGGCGGCGAGUGGCGAACGGGUGAGUAAUGCAUCGGAACGUGCCCAGUAGUGGGGGAUAGCCCGGCGAAAGCCGGAUUAAUACCGCAUACGACCUGAGGGUGAAAGCGGGGGACCGAAAGGCCUCGCGCUAUUGGAGCGGCCGAUGUCGGAUUAGCUAGUUGGUGGGGUAAAGGCUUACCAAGGCGACGAUCCGUAGCUGGUCUGAGAGGACGACCAGCCACACUGGGACUGAGACACGGCCCAGACUCCUACGGGAGGCAGCAGUGGGGAAUUUUGGACAAUGGGCGCAAGCCUGAUCCAGCCAUGCCGCGUGCGGGAAGAAGGUCUUCGGGUUGUAAACCGCUUUUGUUCGGGAAGAAAUCCUCUGGGCUAAUACCCCGGGGGGAUGACGGUACCGGAAGAAUAAGCACCGGCUAACUACGUG